rnacentral:rRNA from 1 species
UACGGAGGGCGCAAGCGUUAAUCGGAAUCACUGGGCGUAAAGCGUGCGUAGGCUGUUUGGUAAGUCAGACGUGAAAUCCCUCGGCUCAACCGGGGAACUGCGUUUGAUACUGCCGAACUCGAGUCCUGGAGAGGGUGGCGGAAUUCCUGGUGUAGGAGUGAAAUCCGUAGAUAUCAGGAGGAACACCGGUGGCGAAGGCGGCCACCUGGACAGGUACUGACGCUGAGGCGCGAAAGCUAGGGGAG